GUCAGGAUGGCCGAGUGGUCUAAGGCGCCAGACUCAAGUUCUGGUCUCCACCUGGAGGCGUGGGUUCGAAUCCCACUUCUGACA